rnacentral:rRNA from 1 species
UACAGAGGUCCCAAGCGUUGUUCGGAUUCAUUGGGCGUAAAGGGUGCGUAGGCGGCGCGGUAAGUCGGGUGUGAAAUCUCGGAGCUUAACUCCGAAACUGCAUUCGAUACUGCCGUGCUUGAGGACUGGAGAGGAGACUGGAAUUUACGGUGUAGCGGUGAAAUGCGCAGAUAUCAGGAGGAACACCGGUGGCGAAGGCGGGUCUCUGGGCCGAGUACUGACGCUGAGGAGCGAAAGCGUGGGGAGCGAACAGG